AGCACCGCCGUUCUGCCCUUCCCUUGACCUUCAAACCGAGCGGGAAGUUGGUUGACUUUGUCUCAGAGUUAGAAGUCAAGGUUCAAGAACACCCUCACCAUCAACCCAUCGCAACAGCCGCAGCAUUGGGGGCUCCACGUCACUGACACGACAGGCGAGAGGGGAAUAUUGGCCGCUCCAAGAGAACGACCUGAAUGUGGUAGGCGUGACAGGCACCACUUUGGGAAUCCUAGGGCGAGUACCACUAACAGUCAGCUUACAUGAAAAGACCCAGACGGAAGGACAGGAAGAGGAGGAGAAAAAUCAAGGAUGAAGAGCAAAACAGAAGCACAAAACCCUAAUGACAAAACAAGCUGUGAGAGGAGGUGAAGAAACAGAGGACAACACAAGGAGUAGAAAGAAAAAAAAUGAACUAGUUGAACAUUACAAAGGAAGAAAAGUAUUGGAAAUGUCAAAUCUUAACACCUUUAUAAUGCGAGGGUCAGGAAUGGUGGUGGGGGACGAGGAGAUGGAGGAGGAGGGGGAGCGACGACUACACCACCCCCACCACCCCCAACACCACACAGCACCACCACAACCCUCACCCCAUACCUCAUACCCCACCUUCCUCCCUGCAACAGCUUCCCUCACCCCUUCCUCCCCCACCACCACCACGACCUUCCUCACAGGCCCCACAGACACUUUCUUGACCCUCCCAGAGCAGGGGGAGGGGGUGGAGCUCUUGGGGUCAGGGGAGGGGGAGGGGGAAGGGGAAGGGGUGCCACAAGGGUCACUGCUGUAUCUUGACUCUAACUCAGCUCUUCAUGUGUUGGUCCAUCUCUUGCCACAGUCUGCCCAUCAGCAGCCGACCCCACCCCAGCUGGUGGAAGAGGAAGGAUCUCAGGAGCAGUUUGUGGUAGUUGGCGCACAAAAGACUGAUGCCCUUUGUGGCCCCCCCCCCCACCAACCCCUGCCAUGUCUGUGGGUGAUUAGCAUCAAUAGUAGAAAGCGUUAUCUUGACGAGGACCUGGCUGGGGGGGGGGAACCUACCUACCCCAGACCCAGGACCCCACCCCAGCACCCCCCAGCACCUGCCGUCUACCCCAGUACUGACCCUGGUGGGGGGCGUGGGUGACGGGGGAGAGGAAAAUGCAUCGGGGGGCAUGGGCAUCACCCUGAACUGAGUCCUCCACAUCAUCCUAGAGGAGAUCAUAAAAAAAAUUGCCUCGUCACCUGAUUCUCCGAUGAGCGACAUAACUGACCCUUCCAUCACCACCACCACAGCCACCACCACCAUCAGUGCUCUUAUCCCACCCUCAUCACCACCACCACAGUCACCACCACCUGUCACCUCCACGGCUAACCUAUCAGCCAAGGUCAAGGUUAAGCUGCUACCUGAGGCUAUUAAGGAUGAAAGGGUGGAGGGUGAGGCUGAGAGUGAUGAGGGGUGUCUGUGUGAUGUGGUGUGAUGUACAGGUGUCGGGUGUGUGGGAAGGGGUUUGAGGACAAGGGACGCCUGCUCCAGCACCACCACCUGAGGCAAAAACAGGGAGGCACCAUCAGGAUUAUGGUGACCACCUCCACCACCACCACCACCACUACCUCCAACACCACCACUGCCACUGCCACCACCACCACCACCACCUCCAACACCACCACCACCACUGCCACUGCCACCACCACCACCACCACUGCUGCCACUGCCACCACCACCACCACCACCUCCAACACCACCACCACCGCUGCCACUGCCACCACCACCACCACCACCACCACCACCACUGCCACCACCACCACUGAAUUAAAGCUUUACCUUCUUUAUACAUGCUCUGACUUGUUUAACUUUGGUCUAAAUUUUUGCUUUAACUAUUCAUCUUGAUAUUAAGUUUCAGUAAGACAACCUGGCUUUUGUACAUGCGUGCAUUCUAGUAUAAUUUUCUACAAUAUUCAGUCCGUUUCAAUAUUCCAAAGACUACAUUUUUCCCUACACAUAAAAGAAGUUAAGUAAGAUCAUUUUACAUCACUGAAAUAGCUAGUGGGUUCCAAGAUAAUUUUUCUUUAAUAUUCAAGUUUAAAUUUUCCAAAGGUGGUAUUUUUCUCCUAUACCUUUCACAAAAAUCAAAGUAAAGUAAGGUCAUCUGAUAUCAACAAAGUAAUUAGUGGUGUUCAGGGUUGUUGGGUCGAGGUGUAAGGUGUUUGAAGUCAUGUCAGGGUAACCGAUCCUCUGUGUCCCAACAGGGGAGAUCAGUGCAUCCAUUGGUGUGGGUUCUGCUCCGAGGACUUCCUGGGCCCGAGAAAGUGCAAGAAACAUAUAAGUAAGGAACACCCCAGCAGGAGGCCGCGGGGGGGUGGUCCGGGGCAGUACAGGUGAAGUACCCGCCCCAGCCUGGCACACCCAUGGGCCGCAGGAAGGCAUGCUCACCUGGCCAGGAAGAGACUACAGGUCCAUGUGGAGGUGGAGGAGAGGACGGGAGACUCUGAGGGCUCUGCAGGAACAGUUUUGGCUGCAGAAACAACGGCCAAAACCUGUGUGUUCGGUGGAGGGGGAGAAGAAGCACAAGUGUUCUCUGCCCACCUGCAAGUACAAGUUUUCCUUGGAGGCCAAUCUGAGGCCCAUAGGAAGUGCCACGGAGGUGGGGGCAGGAAGGGCGGCGAGAGGGGCUUCUCCUGCUCCCAGUGUGGCUUCAGGUGUGAUAAGUGAUCGGUGCGUCAGCUUCACCUCUGGAAGGAUCACACGCUGGACAUGACCUCCUGAGCUGCGGGAUCUGCCACACCUACAAGACGUGCACCCAGCAGAGCAUCCUCGUCCACCAGAAGAUACAUUCCGACGUCAGGGAGCACAUUUGUACGACCUGCGGCAAGGGGUUCAAGCAUUUGGUGCAGCUCCUGAGCUACCAGGGCACGCACAUCACCGACCCCAGGGACAUGCCUGCCUGGGCCGACAAAGCGUUCUGCAAGGAGUGCCAGAAGUGGUUCAGGGACAGCAAAUCGUUUCAGAAGCACAACACUCUGGGACCAUGGGCGGCGUCGCCAGAGGCAGCCGCUCACCCCAGAGGAUGAGCCGUGGGGUACGGCACAAUUGGCAAGCCGUGAGCUGACAGACACUGGACAGCACCCUGGCGGAACGUGUACAGAACAGGAGUCUGGAGGCAGUGCAGGAUCCUGGGAAGGGACGAAAGGAGGGAAGAAGGAAGGAAGGAAGGAAGGAGGAAAGAAUGAGUGAAUGAAUGAAUGAAGUAAGGGACACACUCUCAUAUUCUUAACUUCUGUCUUUCUUACUGAUGCGAUAUUUCUCCUCCUCCUCUUCUUUCAUCUCUUUCCUCCUCCUCCUCUUCUUCACAAUGUGUUGAGUAGGUGGGUGUUGAUAUAAGCGUUUCUCUCUCUCAAUCCAUCUAUCUAUCUAUCAGUCCAUCUAUUUCUCUCUCUCUCUUAUUUCCCUUUUUUAUCAUACUUUCUCCCUCGUCCUCUCAUCAUUACAUUUUCUCUUCCUUCUCCUGUCUCUCAUACUUCUCUUCUGUAUCAGACUUUCUCCUCCUCUUUUCAUAAUUCUCUCUCUCUCCCCCUCAUCACUUCUAACAAAACUUCUUUUUAUUUAAAUAGGAGAAGUUAGACACAAACUUUACAAUUAUAAUUUUUUAUUAUUAACAAAAAACAGACACACCAGCACUGA